UAGGGAAUAUUGGACAAUGGGGGCAACCCUGAUCCAGCCAUGCCGCGUGAAUGAUGAAGGCCUUCGGGUUGUAAAGUUCUUUUGGCGGGGACGAUGAUGACGGUACCCGCAGAAUAAGCUCCGGCUAACUUCGUGCCAGCAGCCGCGGUAAUACGAAGGGAGCUAGCGUUGUUCGGAAUUACUGGGCGUAAAGGGCGCGUAGGCGGUUUGGCAAGUUGGAUGUGAAAGCCCUGGGCUCAACCCGGGAAUUGCAUUCAAGACUGCCUUGCUUGAAUUCGGUAGAGGUUGGUGGAAUUUCCAGUGUAGAGGUGAAAUUCGUAGAGAUUGGAAAGAACACCCGUGGCGAAGGCGGCCAACUGGACCGACAUUGACGCUGAGGCGCGAAAGCGUGGGGAGCAAACAGG
rnacentral:rRNA from 1 species